rnacentral:rRNA from 1 species
AUUGAACGCUGGCGGCAGGCUUAACACAUGCAAGUCGAGCGGGGGAAGGUAGCUUGCUACCGGACCUAGCGGCGGACGGGUGAGUAAUGCUUAGGAAUCUGCCUAUUAGUGGGGGACAACAUCUCGAAAGGGAUGCUAAUACCGCAUACGUCCUACGGGAGAAAGCAGGGGAUCUUCGGACCUUGCGCUAAUAGAUGAGCCUAAGUCGGAUUAGCUAGUUGGUGGGGUAAAGGCCUACCAAGGCGACGAUCUGUAGCGGGUCUGAGAGGAUGCGCCACCACACUGGGACUGAGACACGGCCCAGACACCUACGGGAGGCAGCAGUGGGGAAUAUUGGACAAUGGGAGGAACCCUGAUCCAGCCAUGCCGCGUGUGUGAAGAAGGCCUUAUGGUUGUAAAGCACUUUAAGCGAGGAGGAGGCUACUCUAGUUAAUACCUAGGGAUAGUGGACGUUACUCGCAGAAUAAGCACCGGCUAACUCUGUGCCAGCCGCCGCCGUAA